UUAAGUUAUUAAGGGCGCACGGUGGAUGCCUUGGCACUAGAAGCCGAUGAAGGACGUUACUAACGACGAUAUGCUUUGGGGAGCUGUAAGUAAGCUUUGAUCCAGAGAUUUCCGAAUGGGGAAACCCAGCAUGAGUUAUGUCAUGUUAUCGAUAUGUGAAUACAUAGCAUAUCAGAAGGCACACCCGGAGAACUGAAACAUCUUAGUACCCGGAGGAAGAGAAAGAAAAUUCGAUUCCCUUAGUAGCGGCGAGCGAAACGGGAAGAGCCCAAACCAACAAGCUUGCUUGUUGGGGUUGUAGGACACUCUAUACGGAGUUACAAAGGACGACAUUAGACGAAUCAUCUGGAAAGAUGAAUCAAAGAAGGUAAUAAUCCUGUAGUCGAAAAUGUUGUCUCUCUUGAGUGGAUCCUGAGUACGACGGAGCACGUGAAAUUCCGUCGGAAUCUGGGAGGACCAUCUCCUAAGGCUAAAUACUCUCUAGUGACCGAUAGUGAACCAGUACCGUGAGGGAAAGGUGAAAAGCACCCCGGAAGGGGAGUGAAAUAGAACCUGAAACCGUGUGCUUACAAGUAGUCAGAGCCCGUUAAUGGGUGAUGGCGUGCCUUUUGUAGAAUGAACCGGCGAGUUACGAUUUGAUGCAAGGUUAAGCAGUAAAUGUGGAGCCGUAGCGAAAGCGAGUCUGAAUAGGGCGUUUAGUAUUUGGUCGUAGACCCGAAACCAGGUGAUCUACCCUUGGUCAGGUUGAAGUUCAGGUAACACUGAAUGGAGGACCGAACCGACUUACGUUGAAAAGUGAGCGGAUGAACUGAGGGUAGCGGAGAAAUUCCAAUCGAACCUGGAGAUAGCUGGUUCUCUCCGAAAUAGCUUUAGGGCUAGCCUCAAGUGAUGAUUAUUGGAGGUAGAGCACUGUUUGGACGAGGGGCCCCUCUCGGGUUACCGAAUUCAGACAAACUCCGAAUGCCAAUUAAUUUAACUUGGGAGUCAGAACAUGGGUGAUAAGGUCCGUGUUCGAAAGGGAAACAGCCCAGACCACCAGCUAAGGUCCCAAAAUAUAUGUUAAGUGGAAAAGGAUGUGGCGUUGCCCAGACAACUAGGAUGUUGGCUUAGAAGCAGCCAUCAUUUAAAGAGUGCGUAAUAGCUCACUAGUCGAGUGACACUGCGCCGAAAAUGUACCGGGGCUAAACAUAUUACCGAAGCUGUGGAUUGUCCUUUGGACAAUGGUAGGAGAGCGUUCUAAGGGCGUUGAAGCAUGAUCGUAAGGACAUGUGGAGCGCUUAGAAGUGAGAAUGCCGGUGUGAGUAGCGAAAGACGGGUGAGAAUCCCGUCCACCGAUUGACUAAGGUUUCCAGAGGAAGGCUCGUCCGCUCUGGGUUAGUCGGGUCCUAAGCUGAGGCCGACAGGCGUAGGCGAUGGAUAACAGGUUGAUAUUCCUGUACCACCUAUAAUCGUUUUAAUCGAUGGGGGGACGCAGUAGGAUAGGCGAAGCGUGCGAUUGGAUUGCACGUCUAAGCAGUAAGGCUGAGUAUUAGGCAAAUCCGGUACUCGUUAAGGCUGAGCUGUGAUGGGGAGAAGACAUUGUGUCUUCGAGUCGUUGAUUUCACACUGCCGAGAAAAGCCUCUAGAUAGAAAAUAGGUGCCCGUACCGCAAACCGACACAGGUAGUCAAGAUGAGAAUUCUAAGGUGAGCGAGCGAACUCUCGUUAAGGAACUCGGCAAAAUGACCCCGUAACUUCGGGAGAAGGGGUGCUCUUUAGGGUUAACGCCCAGAAGAGCCGCAGUGAAUAGGCCCAAGCGACUGUUUAUCAAAAACACAGGUCUCUGCUAAACCGUAAGGUGAUGUAUAGGGGCUGACGCCUGCCCGGUGCUGGAAGGUUAAGAGGAGUGGUUAGCUUCUGCGAAGCUACGAAUCGAAGCCCCAGUAAACGGCGGCCGUAACUAUAACGGUCCUAAGGUAGCGAAAUUCCUUGUCGGGUAAGUUCCGACCCGCACGAAAGGCGUAACGAUUUGGGCACUGUCUCAACGAGAGACUCGGUGAAAUCAUAGUACCUGUGAAGAUGCAGGUUACCCGCGACAGGACGGAAAGACCCCGUGGAGCUUUACUGUAGCCUGAUAUUGAAAUUCGGCACAGCUUGUACAGGAUAGGUAGGAGCCUUUGAAACGUGAGCGCUAGCUUACGUGGAGGCGCUGGUGGGAUACUACCCUAGCUGUGUUGGCUUUCUAACCCGCACCACUUAUCGUGGUGGGAGACAGUGUCAGGCGGGCAGUUUGACUGGGGCGGUCGCCUCCUAAAAGGUAACGGAGGCGCUCAAAGGUUCCCUCAGAAUGGUUGGAAAUCAUUCAUAGAGUGUAAAGGCAUAAGGGAGCUUGACUGCGAGACCUACAAGUCGAGCAGGGUCGAAAGACGGACUUAGUGAUCCGGUGGUUCCGCAUGGAAGGGCCAUCGCUCAACGGAUAAAAGCUACCCCGGGGAUAACAGGCUUAUCUCCCCCAAGAGUUCACAUCGACGGGGAGGUUUGGCACCUCGAUGUCGGCUCAUCGCAUCCUGGGGCUGUAGUCGGUCCCAAGGGUUGGGCUGUUCGCCCAUUAAAGCGGUACGCGAGCUGGGUUCAGAACGUCGUGAGACAGUUCGGUCCCUAUCCGUCGUGGGCGUAGGAAAUUUGAGAGGAGCUGUCCUUAG
rnacentral:rRNA from 1 species